UAAGGAAUAUUGGACAAUGGAGGCAACUCUGAUCCAGCCAUGCCGCGUGAAGGAAUAAGGCCCUAUGGGUUGUAAACUUCUUUUAGACGGGACAAAACCCCUUUACGUGUAAAGGGUUGAUGGUACUGUCAGAAUAAGCAUCGGCUAACUUCGUGCCAGCAGCCGCGGUAAUACGAAGGAUGCAAGCGUUAUCCGGAAUUAUUGGGUUUAAAGGGUGCGUAGGCGGACUAAUAAGUCAGUGGUGAAAGCCUGCAGCUUAACUGCAGAAUUGGCAUUGAUACUGUUAGUCUUGAGUACAGUUGAGGUAGGCGGAAUGUGUCAUGUAGCGGUGAAAUGCUUAGAUAGGACACAGAACACCGAUUGCGAAGGCAGCUUGCUAAGCUGUAACUGACGCUGAGGCACGAAAGCGUGGGGAGCAAACA
rnacentral:rRNA from 1 species